rnacentral:rRNA from 1 species
ACGGAGGGGGCUAGCGUUGUUCGGAAUUACUGGGCGUAAAGCGCGCGUAGGCGGCUUUGUAAGUUAGAGGUGAAAGCCCGAAGCUCAACUUCGGAAUUGCCUUUAAGACUGCAUCGCUAGAAUCGUGGAGAGGUAAGUGGAAUUCCGAGUGUAGAGGUGAAAUGCGUAGAUAUCAGGAGGAACACCCGUGGCGAAGGCGGCUUUCUAUCUCGAUUCUGACGCUGAGGCGCGAAAGCUAGGGGAGCAAACGGGA